AAUUUAUCUAAAGUGCAUUUCACUCCGGAUUAUCCCUUUAAGUAAUUUAUAAUAUAUUUAGAGAUAUGCAUUAGUUGACUGUAUGCCACAGAAGACUCUUUAGCUAGCGCAUACUGUAUACACUAUAUUGCCAAAAGUAUUGGGCCACUUGCCUUGACUCGCAUAUGAAACAUCCAAUUAUAUGACAUCCAAUUCUUAAUCCAUAGGGUUUCAUUUAAUGUUGGUCCACCAACAUUAUAGCUUCGAUAGACCCUUUUCACGCUAACGUCAGACACUUUCCGCUUUGAAGCUUUGCUGGGUAUCAGUUCAUCCGGCGUAAGCAAAAGCUAUGGUGAUACGGUUACAGUUCUUGAGAAGUGCAUUUGUGAGGCCACACUUUGAUGUUGGACUUGGUUCUCAGUCUUUGCUCUUCAUCCCUAUGGGGUUAUAUUGGGUUGUGGUCAGGACUCUGUGUAGGCCAGUCAAGUUCAUCCACACCAAACUUUGUCUUUACGGACCUUGCUUUGUAUGCUGAUGCACGGUUAUUUUGGAACAGGAAGGCUUUUUUUCUUCUCUCCACUUUCCUUUUGCUCAUUCUUUCUCCCUCCAACAUGCUCCUGACUUCACCUAUUAUCCAUUUUAUUUAAUGUUAUGUCUCCUACUGUGCCUCUCCUUUUUGUUAUGUAAUCUAUUCCAAAUAAAUGCCUUACUUCAUUAAAACCAUAA